UGCUCACUCCCCAAAUGUCUAGAAGUCUAGAAACUUCCAUUAAAACAAUUUUACUUAUUAUUAUCCCUUCUUAAAAUAGGAGGUGAGUUGCUGAUUCUUUCUAUUUAUAUCACUUUUAACACUUACUUCCAAAGCUUCUUUUAUCCAUGGUGUCUCUUGUUUACUCAACUGCUUAACGGCAUAAACUACUUUAGAUUUCCAAAAGUCUAAUCCAAACUUCUUUUCCUGAUUUAUACAGAAUCAUAGUACUUGAUCAGUUUACAUCCUUCAUUUUCUUCCCAAAGGGAGUACAAUCUUUUCUACUAUUUUUCACUGCCAAACACUCCCUUAAAUUUUGGAUUGUCCAAGUCAUCCUAACUUCAACUGUUACUGUACGAUAUUAGGUACUUACAACAACAACAACUACUACAAUGAUGGAUCCAUUGUACUCGGUGAAAGAGGAGUACGCCGGAUCAAGUUCGGGAGGUGGCGGCGGUGAGCCACCGCCGCCGGUAAUGACACCACCACAGCCAAUGGAGGGGCUACACGACAUCGGUCCACCACCAUUCCUGACAAAGACAUAUGAAAUGGUGGAUGAUUCAAGCACAGAUCAUGUUGUUUCUUGGAACAGAGGUGGUCAAAGCUUUGUUGUUUGGGAUCCUCAUGCCUUCUCCACUAGUUUACUCCCCAGAUUCUUCAAACACAACAACUUCUCUAGCUUUGUCAGACAGCUAAAUACUUAUACAGAAUUAAGAUAUUCAAAAAAGGUCCUCUCUGAUCUGGAUGUUCAAAUGAUGCUUCCUUCAACUUGUCAGCUGGGAUUUAGAAAGAUUGAUCCAGAGAAAUGGGAAUUUGCAAACGAGGCAUUUCUAAAGGGAAACAAGCAGCUUCUAAGGAAUAUCAGGAGACGAAAAACAACUAAUUCUCAGCUUCUUCCUACAGAACAAGCACUUGGUCCUUGUGUUGAAUUAGGAAGGUUCGGAUUUGACGAAGAAGUUGAUCGAUUGAGGCGCGACAAGCAAGUUUUAAUGAUGGAAUUAAUGAAGCUUAGACAGCAACAACAAAACACUCGAUCUUACCUUCGAUCGUUGGAGGUUAGGUUACAAGGGACAGAGAGGAAGCAACAACAAAUGAUGAAUUUCUUAGCAAGAGCUUUGCAGAAUCCCGAGUUUGUCCAACAGUUGAUCCGACAAAAAGAGAAAAGAAAAGAACUAGAAGAGGCUAUAACUAAGAAAAGGCGACGACCUAUUGAUCAGGGGCCUAGUACAUUAGAUGUUGGAGGAUCAAGCCGUCCCAUAAAAUCAGAGCCUUUGGAAUUCGGAGAGGGUAGUGGAUUCCAAGUAUCCGAACUUGAAGCACUUGCAUUAGAAAUGCAGGGAUUUGGUAGAGCAAGAAGGGACCAACACGAAGAAGAGACGAGAGAAGGGCUCGAGCAAUUUGGCAACACGGAUAGAGAACUCGAUGAGGGAUUCUGGGAAGAGCUAUUUAACGAGGAGGACGUGUCUGGAAAUGAAGAUGGUGAAGAGGAAGAUGUAAAUGUCUUGGCAGAGAGGUUGGGUUUCUUGGAUUCGAGCCCUUAUUAGAAGUCCGUAGACUAAUUUAGUUGGUGCAAUUUUUCAAAAACUCGUUCAUCUGCUGGAUCAUAUAAAAUCUUGUAUGGACCUACAUUGUUUUAUUUACUACUCUUACUAUUUAACUUAUAUUUCUUGACUCUGUGUAGUUGGUUCUGAAGUGUUCAAUGAAGAAAGCAGCUAAAUGGAUCGACUGGCUAAUCUUUGAAUAGAUUUGUGAAGCACUCAAGAGUCGAGUCAGAAAAUCGCUUCUUGGUGUUUCUGGUUACUUUAACAUUCUGAAUUACUGGUUCCCUUCCACUGCCUUUAUUACAUCUCAACUUCUCAGUCUUGUUUUUCUCUGGAAUCCAAAUGCAGGCAUAGGUUAUGAAGAUUUUGGUCAAGUCUAUUGGUCUUUCAAGGUUAUUGUAAAUUCUCGUUUUCGGUGAUAUAUUGCUCAUUAAGUAAUGUUGCAAUAUUUUGUUUAUGUGGUUUUUAGAUUGCUGUCUUGAUGAUGAAGCAGUUAAAAGUAGAAAUGCCAGUUACUCCAGAAUCAAGAUUUUAUUGAAGUGGCCGUUUAUAACUACUUUUGCCGGUAAAGAUUGUUGUUGCCAGUUAGGGGUGUCAAACGAAUGAGUCGGUUCGGUCGGAUAUAGACGGAUAAAAUAUUCGACCCUACCCAUAUUUAAUACAGAUAGAAAAUGGGUUAACCAACGGAUAAUAUGGAUAUCCAUAUUAUUUAUGGCUUCUUGAAUAUAAUCACUUUUGUAUUCAUACUCUUCCAAGCUUGAGGAAUCCCUAAUUUGAGUCCUUACAAAUGUAAAGUUAAAACUAUUGGUUAUCUAUUUUUAAGUGGAUAA